UAUUUUUAUAUGUAAAUAUGUACAUAUUUAAAUAUGUAAUAAUUUUCAUGCAGACAUAUAGAAGGAGGGAGUCCGGUUAGAUGAAGGCUAAAGCUUCAUCUGUCUCAAAACCAGAGUGGAAGUUGAACAGUGCCUUGCUCUAGGAAGCUCCGGGCAUUCCUAGAUGAUGGCUGCAUCUUGCAUACUGCUAACAUCUGACCUAAAGGAGACUGAAAGAUAAGAUGAGAAUGAAUGAAAGAAGCCCAACUGUAUUAGUCAUUUAUUGCUGCCUAUCAAAUUUGCCCAAAACUUAGCAGCUUAAAACAAACAAGAUUUAUUUCCUCACACUGUCUGAGGGUCAGGAAUCCAAGAGCAUUGUGGCUCGGUGGUCCUGGCUCCAUGUUUCUCACAAAGUUGCAGUCAGACGUCAGCUGAGGCUACAGUCAUCUCGAGGCUCUACUGGGGCUGAUGGAUUCACUGCCAAGUUUACUCGCAUGGCUGUUGGCUGGAGGCCUCAGUUCUUUGCCAUGUGGCUCUCUUUACAGGGCUACCUGGUUUCUGCCUGAGCAGCAAGUGAUGAAGGAGAGUGAGCGUAUGAGAGAGCAAGAGAGUGAGCCCAAUCGUGGACUGACCACACAGUUGACCCUGGUUGACUGUGAGAAAGGACACAGGCUAUGAACACCAGGAGGUGGGGAUCAUUGGACGCCAUCUUGGAGGCUGGCUACCUCAACAAUCUUCUUAGAUUCCAUGAUUUCUCGACAAUAGAAAGAUGACAGGAUGUACUUCCCAGAUUUCAGGAAUUCAGGCUUCUGAUGGUCCCCAAGAAAUAAGAGGACAUGAGACUCCAAAAGAAGAGAGAUGGCUCAAGAAGGUGGGAGAACUCCUGGUAAAAUUCCAAAUGUGUAAAUUGCCAGUGCUCUUGAAGAGAAAUAGUAAGGUGGGAACAGGUUGCUGAUGAGACCAGGGCAGCUCCUGGAGAAGCUCACCUUUGAGUAGAGCUGGCAAAAGGGAACAAGGAGCAUAGUGUAGCAGAGUCACACAAACCUAGUUUGCUAAUUAGGUCUAAUUAAUUAAGGCAGUGAAAUUGUAAGGAUAACAACAACCAAAAAAAGCUUUCUUUUUUUUUUGGCAUGGGCAGAAAAUCAAGAAAGGAACUUCUCUGUGGCUUCUGUGGAGUCAACUCUUCCUGACUGCCUGACUGCCACGAGGUACCAGCUUGACUACAUUUCCCAGCAUCCUUUGGAGUGAGACUAUCCUUGCAGUUAGACGAUUUUCUAGUCUCCUUUGCAGGGAUCUUGGAAGCCCCAUGUUGAAGGUGGCAGAGCAACAAAAAUUGAGGAAGCCCUGAAUCCCUGAACUAUUAUUUGGAGAUGACCACCCACUGAUCCAGAACACUCAUUAUUGGGCUUUAGGAGAAUGAGAAAUUCUGUCAUGCUUGAGACUCCGUACAUCUUUGGAUUUGUUUUAACUGCUAGUUUUACCCUGACUAACAUGGCAAUUGACAGCCUCUGAGAAGAGAUUUGGAGAAUCUGCUUUUUUAACAAGUACCCCAGGGGAGUUUGAGAAUCACUGCUGAAAGCCAAGGGGAGCCAGUCACCCAAGGAUUUAACGCUGACCAAGGAACGCCACGCUAUUUGCAUUUUAGAAUGACAGCAAGGGAGCAGAACUCUGCUCCCUUCUUCCUUGCCAAGGAGAACAAUCUAUUGACUCAAAAGAAAAAGAAACUUUGGUAAGAGAAAAUUGAAGCUCUAGAUGAGUAAAAAGAUUCUAACAGUACCAAGCUGCCGUAAAUGAGCUCAAGUCUCUUGGCCAGGACAAAUUACACUCCAGGGAGUAGAGAGAACUCGCCUCUGAAGCUGUAAAGCCUCUGCUGAUAAUCUUUACAGAACAUGGAGACUGUGAAAGAAAUUGGAACGCUAGAGAUGGCAAAAUAUAGGUCUGAUUAGUAAAGAGGGGGAAAGCUCCUGCAAACUACAGAAGUGGGGCUCUCCUAUCCAUCCUCAUUAAGUUCUCUGAUCAGACUACCUAAGGCUGACUUGUGAGCACGUGAAAAAUGGAGCAGAAUCCUCUAGAAGCCUGUGUGGGUUCUUUAAGAGCAAGCCACGACAAGGUAACUGUGUUCCCAGUUUCGUGGUGGGCUUGCUAGAUUAUUAUGUCAGGGAAUUGUGUUAGCUAUGGUAGAGACAAAGCACACCUCGGCUUGUCUGUCUGUCAAGGAAUCUCAUGAUAAAUUUGUGCAUGAGAUGAAGUAAUUUCAGCUGCAGACCAGCAUGCCUGUUAGGUGGAUUUAGAACUGUUUUUAUGGCCAUUCCCAAAGAUGCUAGUCAAUGUCCUUGCGGAAGUGCAUUUCUAGUUGAAGGCACAGUCAUUUUCGCAUUUGAUAUUUUUAUUAGUGUGUGGACAUAGAUGACUUAGUUAAUACCUGACACAUUUGGAGACGACAUGCAGAGAAUACUUUGGUUGACACACCAGGGCCCAAAGAACAGACUACAGUGCUAAGCUAAAUGUAAUGAUAUAAGAUGAAACAGGGAAACGGUAGGGUGAGAUGCUCCCGUCCAAAUAGUCCCUGUGUGAGUGCAGGGCCAAGAGGCAAAAUCAUCGGCAGAGAGAAAAAAAAACAAGAAUCUCAGCUGACAGUAACACGGCACGUUGUUCAGCUGCUCUAAGCCCAUUGUGGCCUUGGGUUGAAUUGAGGGAAGCAUGAAAGAGACGCUCUUGACACCUGGAAUGUUGCAUUUGGUGGUGAGUUCCCCUUUGUGAGAUGCCCGAGAGUGUGGAGACGAAGAUGAGCGAUGUGUCUCGGGGAGGGAGCUCUGAAUCCUGUCAUCUGAGAAACAUUUAAGGAACUGGAAGAGGUCAGUCUGAAGGCACUGGACCAGGAAGGAGAAAAAUGGGGCCCUUUCUGGCCAAGUGCUUUCACUGACUCCAGGUACGAGGAAGAAUACAAUAUGAUUCCUGUCCUCAGAGAUGGAAAAGUUCGCAUGCCUGUGGAUACUAGCCUUUACACAGACAACAUAAGGACUGAACAGCGUGGUAAUUAAUGAAGAUGAAAGAAGUAGAAAGAGUAACAAGUAAUAAGUGAGAAUAAGUAUUAAACUAAGUACUGACUUUGGGAGUACCCAGGCUCCAUUUUUAUGCCAAAUCUCUGGUGUUAAGGCAUAAGAGAUACUGUGUCCCCUAAAAGGGGAUAUGUUCUAAGACAUAGCACAAAACAGCAGAAAAAAUAACGUUCUGCUGCUGACUUGUGUUCAUUGUUCAACUUGUGGGCCACUAGGACUCUUGAAUCUUCUUUCCCCAUAUUUGCAUCUAAUUAGCAUUUGCAUAGUUGCUGUCUUUCCCCGAAAUGUUUCUUUCCCAACACUCAGUAUUGCCAUAACAAGAUGGGGAAAUAGAGGAAAUAAUUUUUUUUAAACGUUCAAUUGAUUUCCUUUUUUAAAAAGACACCUUUUUUGAAUUAUUACAUAUCAUAAAAUUCAUCUGUUUUGUGUGUGCAACUCAAUGAAUUUUAGUAAAUUUACAGAGGUGUGCAGCCAUCACAACCAGUUUUAAAACAUUUCCAUUACCAGAGAGAAUAAUUUAGGGGCACAAUCCAGUGAGUGUGGGCAUAUUUAACCCACUUGAGCAUGCAUUUCUGAAACUGUUGUACUUAAGAAAAUCUGUCAGCAAAUUUUGAGUUGCUUCAUGAUAUACUUUUGCAAAACAAAGUAAAAUGCAGCAGAAGGAAGGAUCUCUGUGCCUGAAAUCCUGAGAAACCAUUAUCUAUUUUGCAGAUCACUUCAUUAAUAAACAGAUUAUUACAAAAAUAAUUAUUUUCGAGAUGACAUGUUUUCUAUUGGGACACAUAAAAAGUCUUUAAAUUUGCUCUUCAAAAAAAUCACUUACACCCACAAAACUACUUCAAUCAAGAAAGUAAAUCUAGGUAUGGGAAAACCAUGGCAAAAACAGCUUUACCUUUUUGUCUUUAAAAUUUAGUGUAUUAAUUUUCGUUCGGAUUCUCUUUUCUCUCCUGAUUGUUUGGAGGAAGGAUUUCUCUGGUGAAAAGUACCCCGAUCUGAUGCCUUUGCAAAAGCAGUCACCCCUCUGGCAUGAAAGGCACCAUUCAA